rnacentral:tRNA from 1 species
GUGGGAUUGGCGAAGGGGUUAACGCACCGGAUUGUGAUUCCGGCAUUCAUCGGUUCAAAUCCGAUAUUCCACCCCA